rnacentral:lncRNA from 1 species
GUCAUUUGAUGGGUUUUGAGUGAAAUCCAAUCUCUAGAACUAUACAAUACACCAACCACCCCAUUUCAGAACGAACUUCGUACGAACCUGAAUUGUCCGAUUUCAAGGACCAAUCGAUAUCGGAUUGAGUCCAAAACUUGGGGAACAUCAUAAUAUUGUGGGAGGAGUCUUUUGGUGGGUUUUGAGUGAAAUCCAAUCUCCAGAACUAUACAAUACACCAACCACCCCAUUUCAGAACGAACUUCGUAGGAACCUGAAUUGUCCGAUUUCAAGGACCAAUCGAUAUCGGAUUGAGUCCAAAACUUGGGGAACAUCAUAAUAUUCUGGGAGGAGCAUUUGUGGGUUUUGAGUGAAAUCCAUCUCUAGAACAUACAAUACACCAACCACCCCAUUUCAUAACGAACUUCGUACAAACCUGGAUUGUCCGAUUUCAAGGACAAUCGAUAUCGGAUUGAGUCCAAAACUUGGGGAACAUCAUAAUAUUGUGGGAGGAGUCAUGUGGUUUGUUUUUAGUGAAAUCCAAUCUCUAGAACUAUACAAUACAACAACCACCCCAUUUUAGAACGAACUUCGUAGGAACCUGAAUUGUCCGAUUUCAAGGACUAAUCGAUAUCGGAUUGAGUCCAAAACUUGGGGAACAUCAUAAUAUUGUCGGAGGAGUCAUUUGGUGGGUUUUGAGUGAAAUCCAAUCUCCAGAACUAUACAAUACAGCAACCACCCCAUUUAUGAACGAACUUUGUACGAACCUGAAUUGUCCGAUUUCAAGGACCAAUCGAUAUCGGAUUGAGUCCAAAACUCAGGGAACAUCAUAAUAUUGUGGGAGUUGUCAUUUGGUGCCUUUUGGGUAAAAUCCAAUCUCCAGAACUAUACAAUACACCAACCAACCCAUUUCCAGAACGAACUUCGUACGAACCUGAAUUGUCCGAUUUCAAGGACCAAUCGAUAUCGGAUUGAGUCCAAAACUCGGGGAACAUCAGAAUAUUGUGGGAGUUGUCAUUUGGUGCCUUUUCGGUAAAAUCCAAUCCCUACAGCUAUACAAUGCACCAACCACUCCAUUUCAGAACGACCUUCAGACGAACUUGAAUUGUCCGAUUUCGUUGACCAAUCGAUAUCGGAUUGAGUCAAAAACCUGGGGAACAUCAUAAUAUUGUGGGAGGAGUCAUUUGGUGGGUUUUCAGUGAAAUCCAAUCUCUAGAACUAUACAAUACACCAACCACCCCAUUUCAGAACGAACAUCGUGCGAACAUGAAUUGUCCGAUUUCAAGGACCAAUCGAUAUCGGAUUGAGUCCAAAACUUGGGGAACAUCAUCAUAUUGUGGGAGGAGUCAUUUGGGGGGUUUUGAGUGAAAUCCAAUCCCUAGAACUAUACAAUACACCAACCACCCCAUUUCAGAACGAACUUCGUACGAAACUAAAUUGUCCGAUUCGAAGGACCAAUCGAUAUCGGAUUGAGUCCAAAACUUGGGGAACAUCAUAAUAUUGUGGGAGGAGUCAUUUGGUGGGUUUUUAGUGAAAUCCAAUCUCUACAACUAUACAAUACACCAACCACCCCAUUUCAGAACGAACUUCGUACGAACCGGAAUUGUCGGAUUUCAAGGACCAAACGAUAUCGGAUUGAGUCCAAAACUUGGGGAACAUCAUAAUAUCGUGGGAGGAGUCAUUUGGUGGGUUUUGAGUGAAAUCCAAUCUCUAGAACUAUACAAUACACCAACUACCCCAUUUCAGAACAAACUUCGUACGAACAUGAAUUGUCCGAUUUCAAGGACCAAUCGAUAUCGGAUUGAGUCCAAAACUUGGGGAACAUCGUAAUAUUGUGGGAGGAGUCAUUUGGUGGAUUUUGAGUGAAAUCCAAUCUCUAAAGCUAUACAAUACACCAACCACUCCAUUUCAGAUCGAAAUUCGUACGAACUUGAAUUCUCUGAUUUCACAAUCCAAUCGAUAUCGAAUUGAGUCCAAAACUUGGGGAACCUCAUGAUAUUGUGGGAGUCAUUUGGUGGCUUUUGGGUGAAAUCCAAUCCCUACAACUAUACAAUACACCAACCAUUCCAUUUCAGAACGACCUUCAUACGACGUUGAAUUGUCCGAUUUCAUUGACCAAUCGAUAUCGGAUUGAGUCCAAAACCUCGGGAACAUCAUAAUAUUGUGGGAGUUGUCAUUUGGUGCCUUUUGGGUAAAAUCCAAUCUCCAGAACUAUACAAUACACCAACCAACCCAUUUCCAGAACGAACUUCGUACGAACCUGAAUUGUCCGAUUUCAAGGACCAAUCGAUAUCGGAUUGAGUCCAAAACUCGUGGAACAUCAUAAUAUUGUGGGAGUUUUCAUUUGGUGGCUUUUGGGUAAAAUCUAAUCCCUACAGCUAUACAAUGCACCAACCACUCCAUUGCAGAACGACCUUCAUACGAACUUGAAUUGUCCGAUUUGAUGGACCAAUCGAGAUCUGAUUGAGUACAAAACCUGGGGAACAUCAUAAUAUUGUGGGAGGAGUCAUUUGGUGGGUUUUGAGUGAAAUCCAAUCUCUAGAACUAUUCAAUACACCAACCACUAUAUUUCCGAACGAACUUCGUACGAACCUGAAUUGUCCGAUUUCAAGGACCAAUCGAUAUCGGAUUGAGUCCAAAACUUAGGGAACAUCAUAAUAUUGUGGGAGGAGUCAUUUGGUGGAUUUUGAGUGAAAUCCAAUCCCUACAACUAUACAAUACACCAACCACUCCAUUUUAGAACGAACUUCGUACGAACCUGAAUUGCCAAAUUUCGUGGACCGAUCGAUAUCAGAUUGAGUCCAAAACUUGGGGAACAUCAUAAUAUUGUGGGAAGAGUCAUUUGGUGGGAUUUGAGUGAAAUAUAAUCCCUAGAACUAUGCAAUACACCAACCACCCCAUUUAUGAACGAACUUCGUACGAACCUGAAUUGUCCGAUUUGAAGGACCAAUCGAUAUCGGAUUGAGUCCAAAACUCAGGGAACAUCAUAAUAUUGUGGGAGUUGUCAUUUCGUGGCUUUUAGGUAAAAUCCAAUCUCCAGAACUAUACAAUACACUGACCACCCCAUUUAUGAACGAUCUUCGUACGAACCUGAAUUGUCCGAUUUCAAGGACCAAUCGAUAUCGGAUUGAGUCCAAAACUCGGGGAACAUGAUAAUAUUGUGGGAGUUGUCAUUUGGUGGCUUUUGGGUAAAAUCCAAUUUCCAGAACUAUACAAUACACCAACCAACCCAUUUCCAGAACGAACUUCGUACGAACCUGAAUUGUCCGCUUUCAAGGACCAAUCGAUAUUGGAUUGAGUCCAAAACUCGGGGAACAUCAUAAUAUUGUGGGAGUUGUCAUUUGGUGGCUUUUGGGUAAAAUUCAAUCCCUACAGCUAUACAAUGCACCAACCACUCCAUUUCAGAAUGACCUUCAUACGAACUUGAAUUGUCCGAUUUCAUUGACCAAUUGAUAUCGGAUUGAGUCCAAAAC